rnacentral:tRNA from 1 species
GGGUGGGCAAGGUGAUUGCCACGCCUGAAAAGCGGAAGGUCGGCGGUUCGACCCCGCCCCUGACCA